CGUGGGUAACCUGCCUCACACAGGGGGAUAACAGCCGGAAACGGCUGCUAAUACCGCAUAAGCGCACAGUAACGCAUGUUACGGUGUGAAAAACUCCGGUGGUGUGAGAUGGACCCGCGUCUGAUUAGCUGGUUGGUGAGGUAACGGCCCACCAAGGCGACGAUCAGUAGCCGACCUGAGAGGGUGACCGGCCACAUUGGGACUGAGACACGGCCCAAACUCCUACGGGAGGCAGCAGUGGGGAAUAUUGCACAAUGGGCGAAAGCCUGAUGCAGCGACGCCGCGUGAGUGAAGAAGUAUUUCGGUAUGUAAAGCUCUAUCAGCAGGGAAGAAAAUGACGGUACCUGACUAAGAAGCCCCGGCUAACUACGUG
rnacentral:rRNA from 1 species